AUGGAGCUGAGUGGUCCUCCUGGUCUCCAAUGGCCUGGCGGUGGCGCGAUGGGAGGGAGAGCGCCCCCUGGAGGCCUAGGCGGUUCCUGGCUCGUGUGCCCGCGGGAACCCAAGCAGUCAGCCUCUGGCCCCGCCAGGGCGUACGAAUCCUUUCCUCGUUUAUCCAGUAUUAAGUCACGCUGUGUGCUAACUGCCGUGGCCAGGCAGCAGCUACACAACGAGCUGAGUGUCCGCGCGCGGCGGUUGAAUUGCGCCCAGCGAGACAACGGCCUGCGAACGCCAGUUAGGGGAGAGGCGUCUCGGAGACUCAGAGACACCAAGGCCCCUGCGACGAGGUGGCUGCCGCUAGGGGGCGUCAGGACGACGGACCGGGUUCGAGUUGGACCCGCCUUUUCCGCCCGCGCCCCAGGCCCGUGCAGUUCGGCAUUCGCGUCCGAGAGCGGGAAAGAAGCAGUGGCCAAGGCGCCGAUUUUAUUUGGAGAGAAGCAAGCAUCUUUGCCUCUUUGGAGUAGGAAAUUCUGACUUGAAAAAG
rnacentral:lncRNA from 1 species